CCCGGUGAUAAAUUUAACGGCCGCGGUACUUUGACCGUGCAAAGGUAGCAUAAUCAUUUGCCUCUUAAUUAGAGGCUGGAAUGAACGAAUAUACGAAAUUAAUGCUGUCUCUGCUGUAUAAAUAUAAAUUGUCCUUUAAGUGAAGAGACUUAAAUUUUAAUGAAAGACAAAAAGACCCUAUCGAGCUUAAUUUUAAUUAGGGAAUUUUAAAUUAAUUUAUUGUAUGACUUUGAUAAAUUUGGUUGGGGCGACAGAGGAAUAUAUAAAUCUUCCUUUAAUAAUUUGAAAAAUUUUUCUUGUAAAGGAUCAAUUUAGGUGAUAUAGAGAAAAAGUUACCGUAGGGAUAACAGGCUAAUCUCUCCGGAGAGUUCAAAUUGAUGGGGGGGAUGGCACCUCGAUGUGGCCUUAGGGUAUCCUGUAGAUGUAGCAGUCUAUAAGGGUUGGUUUGUUCACCCAUUAAAAUCCU
rnacentral:rRNA from 1 species